AAGUUGCUGCGCCUCGGGGCGGACCCCAACUUAGUGCUGGACGAUGGCGCGGCGGCGGUGCACCUGGCGGCCAGAGCGAGCCACCCACGCGCCCUGCAUUGCCUUAGAAUGCUUCUGCGCUGGGGCGCGGACCCCAAUGCUCGGUGAGGCGCGGCCCGUGUCACUGGGUAAGGUGGGUGUGACUCAGGGAACCAGCAGUGCUCGGCGUCAGGCUCCCGGGUCCGAGGCUUUCGGAUCUAGGAGAUGGAGAUGUCUGCUUCCAAGGUCGGUGGGGAAAAGGUGUCGCAUACCUGUCAUUCCGGCACUCCUGAGACUGAGGCAGGAGAAUGACCGUCUGCGGAGGCGCUGACGCCCGUGCAUGUGGCUGCUGCGUGGGGCUGUUGCAGUGCCUUGGAGUUGCUGCUGAGCAGAGGGGGUGACCCCACACUGCGGGACCAGGUCAGUACCCCCGCGCAGGAACACAUAGGUGGUUGGAGGGUGGGCAUGUGCGCCCCCUGCUGACUGUGACUGCACAGGACGGGCUCAGGCCCUUGGACUGGGCACUACAGCAGCAACAUCACAACUGCGCACGCGUGCUGCGGGAGCUGGACACGCCCACCCGAAAGCCGAAUGAGACCCCAAAGCCCACAGGUGAGAGGAGCUGAGGGGAUGCACCGGGCUACCACACUGCGGGGUCCAGUUUUGUAUGUAAAUCUAUCAUGUCAAUCACUACCUGUGGUCUUAUCAGUCACAUGGCUAUCAUGUCAAUCACCUGUCAAUCAUCUGUCACCUAUAUCAUUUAUCAUGUCCAUAUCUUAUCUGUUUAUAUCUGUGCUUUAUCUGAUUACUUAUUCAUACAUUUAUACAUUAGAGAGGUUUCAUGUAGCCCAGGGUAGCCUUGAAACCAACACAUGCCAAGGACCUGAUUUAGCAGGGUCUCCUGGAGCCUCGCAGGACUCGGAGUUGCACAUGCAUAGAGCUGAGCUGGAAGUGGAGGCCGUGGAGGUGGCUGUGCAGCCCCAGAGCCCUGAGGCUACUGAGAGCUCGGACUACAGCAGCGAUGCCUCAUUUGUCACCGCAGUGGAGGACUCUCUGCAGCCCAGGCGCCCUGGGGGGAUAUGCGAGCUCAUGGCCAGCCUGUGGGUAACCCGUGGGGCCGCAUCAGCUGGGGAGGGGGCACCCAACUGCCAGUCACAGGCCCUGACGUUGACCGAAAAGUCCACGGACAAACCCUUACUGCUUGGUGAUGGGGAUCUGGGAGCCUUGCACCCCCAUGGCUCCGUUCCCCCAAUGUCCGACCUGCAGCUCCUUCAGGCCCUUCGGGCUCUGGGCUAUAGCCCUGGACCUGUCACACCUUUCACCCGAGGACACUACCUGCGGCGGCUGCAGGAAGCCCAGGCUAGCCCUGGGCAUAGCCCAGAACUGGCAGAGGCACUAAGGACUGGUACGGUCCCUGACUGCCAGGUGGAUGAGGCAGCCCUGGCUCAGCACUUUCAGCGGCCGGAUCCAUCGAGGAAGUGGCGGGAAGGCAUUACAAAGUCUAGUUUUACAUAUCUACUUCUCGACCCCAGGCUGACGAAGGACCUGCCUGCCCGAGCCUCUUCCCUCACACUGGCCCAGUGUCUGCAAUGUUUUGUGCGAGCCAUCUUCUAUGUGGGCAAGGGGACCCGUGCCCGGCCAGAUGCCCACCUCUGGGAAGCCCGUGGCUACCAUGACCAGCCAAGGAAACAGGUCUGUCCCAAGAUCCGCCGGAUCUUAGACAUCUGGGAUAGUGGCCGGGGCAUCAUCUCUCUACACUGCUUCCAGCAUGUGGUGGCCGUGGAGGCAUACACGCGGGAGGCUUGCCUGUUGGAUGCCCUAGGUCUCCAGACACUGACCAAUCAGAAACAGGGGCACUACUAUGGAGUAGUUGCCCAUUGGCCACUUCCUCGGCGUCGGCGAUUGGGCGUAUACCUGCUACAGCGUGCUCUGCUGGUCUUCCUGGCUGAGGGGGAGAGAGAGCUGAGGCCACAGGACAUUCAGGCUCGAGGCUGAGUGCUGAGGAUGUGACUGAAUCCUGAGCCAUCAAGGAAAGCGCUCAGCAGGAUCUGUGAGCACACCAGGAAGUCCUAUUUGCUAUCUACUCUUCAGUCCCACCCAGGAGGAUGCCCAAGAUGGCCUGUCACGUCCCAAGGAUGCCAGGGAAACUCUGCCCUCCUCGCCCAGAAGGCUGCCCACCUGUCUUGGGCCACAUCUCCCUGGAAGCCCCACUGAGAAAGAACAGUCCCUCUCCAGGUGCUCAGACAAAGGCCAGAUAACAUGCCCACAGGAAGCACAACCAUCCAAGGCCACACUAUCCAGCUGGAAGUCCCACUGAGAACAGUCAGUCCCUCUUCAGAGUGCCCAGGUGACUGCCCUGUCCUGGCAAAGGCCAUUCACCCAUUGACUAUGCCCAUUCAUAAACUGUACCUGCAUAAAUUGAGCCCAAUGAAGCUCGCUGCCCAGAAACCAUGCUCAUCCAUAAAUGAAGAGUGGAGGAGACCUUGUCCCCUGGAUUCUUCACACACUUCAGGCCAUGACUUCUGGCUGCUAUGUCUCGGGCUCUCCUGGCUGCUGCUUCAUCAGGGGUGGCUUCAAAAAACCAGCAAAACCGUCGCAAGUGCUAGUGAAGGCUAAUUGUGAUCCUAGGCCAUCUCUCCCCCUAACCCCCACCACACACACACCCUCUAAAAAACCCAAGCUUUCUCUGUGUAACCCUGGCUGUCCUGGAACUCAGUCUGCCUCCUGAGUGCUGGGAUUAAAGGCAUGCACUCCUGGCUCCAGCUCAAUUGUGGUUUUAAAGAUUUAUUUAUUUAUUUUCUAUGAAUGAAUACACUGUAGCUGUCUACAGACAAAUCCAGAAGAGGGCAUCAGAUCCCAUUACAGAUGGUUGCGACCCACAAUGUGGGUGCUGGGAAUUGAACUGGGUCCUCUGGAAAAGCAGUCAGUGCUCUUAACCACUGAGCCAUCUCUCCAGCCCAUUGAGCCAUCUCUGCAGCGCCAGCUCAAUUUUUUUUUUUUUUUUCUCAGAGCUGGGGACUGAACCCAGGGCCUUGCGCUUGCUAGGCAAGCGCUCUACCACUGAGCUAAAUCCCCAACCCCACUGAGCUAAAUCCCCAACUCCUCAAAUUUUUUUAAAAAGAUGUAUUUAUGAGUUUCCCAGGGCGGAUGCCCCUGCGCUUAGCGGCCUGGGCGGGCUGAGAGGCGUGGGUUGAGUAGUCUCGUUCCAAGUUUGGAGAGAGGAGAGGUCUCAGACCUUGCUACCCUCAAGCCGCUAGCCGGGAGGAGGGAGAAGAGAUCGCAGCGUCAGGGGAGAACCCAGACAGCCAGACAGAGCUCAGGCUUUCUGAACUAGGAUUGUAUGAUGUGCCUGGGAAAGGUAGGAGCGACUGCGACCGGGCUGCUCUUGACUAGCGAGGGAAGUCGGAGG